GUCGUACAGGUUUCCGUAGGUGAACCUGCGGAAGGAUCAUUAACCUUUCAAAUCAGGGUGCGGCGCGGCCCCCGAGGAGCGGAAACAAUCCUUGGGAGGUAUGCGGGGGCUUCGAGCCCCCCAUUUACGCACGCACGACUGCCAUCCUUACUUUACGAGCACCUUCUGUUCUCCCUCGGCGGGGCAACCUGCCGUUGGAACCGAAUAAACUCUUUUUGCAUCUAGCAUUACCUGUUCCGAAACAAACAAUCGUUACAACUUUCAACAAUGGAUCUCUUGGCUCUGGCAUCGAUGAAGAACGCAGCGAAAUGCGAUAAGUAGUGUGAAUUGCAGAAUUCAGUGAAUCAUCGAAUCUUUGAACGCACAUUGCGCCCCUCGGUAUUCCGUGGGGCAUGCCUGUUCGAGCGUCAUCUACACCCUCAAGCUCUGCUUGGUGUUGGGCGUCUGUCCCGCCUCCGCGCGUGGACUCGCCCCAAAUUCAUUGGCAGCGGUCCUUGCCUCCUCUCGCGCAGCACAUUGCGCUUCUCGAGGGGCUACGGCUCGCGUCCAACAAGCACAUUUACCGUCUUUGACCUCGGAUCAGGUAGGGAUACCCGCUGAACUUAAGCA
rnacentral:rRNA from 1 species